AAACACAUUACAAUUGUGCAUAUCUUUUAAAUAAUCAAUUAUAUUUUUAGGAAUUUAUCCUAAAGAAAUAGACAAGUUUGCAAAGACAUACAUACUAAACCAUUCUCAGCAAUAUCAUUUGUAAUAGUGAAAGUUGAAAAUCCCAAUGUGCACCAGUAGGGUAAAUUAUUGAAAAUAAUGCUACAGAUCUCUAUUUCCUAAUAUUGUCUCUCAUGUACUUAAAAUAAUUAGAUG